rnacentral:rRNA from 1 species
GACGAACGCUGGCGGCGUGCCUAAUACAUGCAAGUCGAACGCAGUGGGGACGGGUGAGUAACACGUGGGUAACCUCCCAUCAGAGGGGAUAACACUUGGAAACAGGUGCUAAACCGAUACUGAUGGAUGGACCCGCGGUGCAUUAGCUAGUUGGUGAGGUAACGGCUCACCAAGGCCACGAUGCAUAGGCGAACUGAGAGGGGGAUCCGCCACACUGGGACUGAGACACGGGCCAGAAUCCCACGGGAGGCAGGCAGAGGGAAUUUUCGGGAAAGGGCGGAAGGUCGAACCGGCCAAGCCGGGGGGGUGAAGAAGGGUUUUGGGUUGGAAAACCCUUUUGGUUGGGAAGCGGGAACCAACCAGAAAGCCACGGCUAACUACGUGCCAGCAGCCGCGGUAAUUC